rnacentral:rRNA from 1 species
UACGAAGGGGGCAAGCGUUGUUCGGAAUGACUGGGCGUAAAGGGCGCGUAGGCGGUUCGUUGCGUCAGAUGUGAAAGCCCCGGGCUCAACCUGGGAACUGCAUUUGAUACGGGCGGGCUUGAAUCCAAGAGAGGGUGGUGGAAUUCCCAGUGUAGAGGUGAAAUUCGUAGAUAUUGGGAAGAACACCGGUGGCGAAGGCGGCGCUCUGGACCGAGACUGACGCUGAGGCGCGAAAGCGUGGGGAGCAAACAGG